rnacentral:tRNA from 1 species
CCUUCGAUAGCUCAGUUGGUAGAGCGGUGGACUGUAGUCGGGUCGAUGAGAGAGAGAUAUCCAUAGGUCGCUGGUUCAAAUCCGGCUCGAAGGA